GAUGAACGCUGGCGGCGUGCCUAAUACAUGCAAGUCGAACGAGGCCCUUUGUAUUCGUACGAAGGUGUCCUAGUGGCGAACGGGUGAGUAACACGUAGGUGACCUACCCCUAAGCGGGGGACAACUCCGGGAAACUGGAGCUAAUACCCCAUGUUCUCCAUGGUGUUAGAGGACCAUGGAGCAAAGGAGCAAUCCACUUUGGGAGGGGCCUGCGGCCCAUCAGCUAGUUGGUAGGGUAAUGGCCUACCAAGGCUAUGACGGGUAGGGGACCUGAGAGGGUGGUCCCCCACACUGACACUGAAACACGGGUCAGACACCUACGGGUGGCAGCAGUAGGGAAUAUUGCACAAUGGGCGAAAGCCUGAUGCAGCAACGCCGCGUGCGCGAUGAAGGCCUUCGGGUUGUAAAGCGCUUUUCUGGGGGAAGAGGAAGGACGGUACCCC
rnacentral:rRNA from 1 species